AUUGAACGCUGGCGGCAGGCCUAACACAUGCAAGUCGAGCGAGCGGCGGACGGGUGCGUAAUGUAUGGGGACUGCCCGAUAGAGGGGGAUAACUACUGGAAACGGUAGCUAAUACCGCAUACUAUCGGAUAACCCAUAUGGGAUUAGCUAGUAGGUGAGGUAAGGGCUCACACAGGCGACGAUCCCUUGCUGGUCUGAGAGGAUGAUAAGCCAAACUGUGACUGAGACGCGGCCCAGACUCCGACGGAGGCAGCAGGGGGGAAGAUUGCACAAUGGGGGUAAGCCUGAUGCAGGCAUGCCGCGUGGAUUAAGAAGGCCCUAGGGUUGUAAAGUACUUUCAGUCGGGAGGCGUUACCGACAGAAGAAGCACCGGCUAACUCCGUGCCAGCAGCCGCGGUAAUUC
rnacentral:rRNA from 1 species